AGUAAAGUGCCAGAUAAAACACUUCUGCCCUCAGAUAGCACACACCUAUUUGUGCUCAGUAGUUAGUCCAGGGAACUGUUGCAAAAAAACUGGACAAAGGGAGCGACAGGGGACGACGUGGGCUGAGGCGAUAAGAGGAACCAGCCAGGUAGAGUCCGGAUUCCAGCCUGGCCCAAAUGUCCAACGAAUUGACAAUUUAUGUGACAGGCCGUACAUAAUUGAGGCCUUUGGCAAUUGGCAACUGCCGGUUGUUGGCCAGGUAAACCUCGCCGGGUAAUAGGAUCGUCGUGUGCCUUCGGCCGAUGCGUCGUCGGUCGAAUAUCAAAGAAUCGAAUCCCAUACAAUUGGAGUGAUUUAUAUGGUCAUUGAUAGACUGAUUUUUAUAGACUACAGCCAAUUAACAGCUGCCUUCGACUUCCGUUUUUGGUUGACGGACUCAAUCUAUUCUAGACUCUAAUUGUGGAUAAUUGCGGCUAGCGCCAAGGUCGAAUGAUUGAUUUGUCCGGGCCGUAAACUUCUUGAAAGAGGGAUGUGCCAGCAAUAAGACAUAGUCCCCGGAAAACGGAACAGACCUCUCUACGUGAACCCAUCUCGAGUGUUAUUGCCUCCGGCCACUAAACCGACUUACUGGGCAAUUCUCUAUUGUUAAGCUCUUAGUUCAGCGAUAAGACAUAAUUUAGCCAAAGCUACCAGUUCUAACCGGUUAUCCACUUAUCUACAAAGUAUACUUCGCGUUUCAGUUACACCCACUGUCAUAUAAACUUUAGUAUAUAUAGUAAUUUAAACGGACGCACCUCUGAUCUACACCGUGCUUCCUGACUCACCUCAAGUGAUAACUCUAAUUUCUGUGUGCGAAUUCUUGGAAAUAAAUUGCUGUGGUCAUGGCUAAA
rnacentral:sRNA from 1 species